GACGAACGCUGGCGGCGUGCUUGACACAUGCAAGUCGAACGGAAAGGCCUGCUUUCCCUUGUGGAUUGCGGGUACUCGAGUGGCGAACGGGUGAGUAACACGUGAGUGAUCUGCCCCCAACUUGGGUAUAAGCCUGGGAAACUGGGUCUAAUUCCCGAUAGGACUGCAGGGUGGUGCCUGUGGUGGAAAACGAUUUUCUAGUGGUUGGGGAUGAGCUCGCGGCCUAUCAGCUUGUUGGUGGGGUAAUGGCCUACCAAGGCGGCGACGGGUAGCCGGCCUGAGAGGGUGGACGGCCACAUUGGGACUGAGAGACGGCCCAGACUCCGACGGGAGGCAGCAGUGGGGAAUAUUGCACAAUGGGCGGAAGCCUGAUGCAGCGACGCCGCGUGGGGGAUGACGGCCUUCGGGUUGUAAACUCCUUUCGACCGCGAGGAAGCCACCUGGUUGGAAGGGUGGUGACGGUAGUGGUAGAAGAAGCACCGGCUAACUACGUG
rnacentral:rRNA from 1 species